rnacentral:rRNA from 1 species
AGUGAACGCUGGCGGUAGGCCUAACACAUGCAAGUCGAACGGCAGCACAGUAAGAGCUUGCUCUUACGGGUGGCGAGUGGCGGACGGGUGAGGAAUACAUCGGAAUCUACUUUUUCGUGGGGGAUAACGUAGGGAAACUUACGCUAAUACCGCAUACGACCUACGGGUGAAAGCAUGGGAUCUUCGGACCUUGCGCGAUUGAAUUAGCCGAUGUCGGAUUAGCUAGUUGGCGGGGUAAAGGCCCACCAAGGCGACGAUCCGUAGCUGGUCUGAGAGGAUGAUCAGCCACACUGGAACUGAGACACGGUCCAGACUCCUACGGGAGGCAGCAGUGGGGAAUAUUGGACAAUGGGCGGAAGCCUGAUCCAGCAAUACCGCGUGGGUGAAGAAGGCCUUCGGGUUGUAAAGCACUUUUGUUGGGAAAGAAAAGCAGCAGGUUAAUACCCCGCUGUUCUGACGGUACCCAAAGAAUAAGCACCGGCUAACUUCGUG